rnacentral:lncRNA from 1 species
UCGGCUGGCCAAGAUCCCGCCAGGUUACUAGGGCAGCGUGAGAAAGCCGUGUGAGUCUGCUGGAAUGCAGGAGGCCUUCGAGUGCAGAUGCUCAAUAAAUACUGAUUGAUAACAACUCAUAUUUAGUGCUAUAACGAAGAUUAGUAAAAUUAAUUGGAAACACAUUUAAUGUUAGCGUGGUUGGUAUGAUUCAUGGCUAACACAUAAAAACCAAAGUAAAAGUCAAGUUUUACACGUCCUCUCUUCUCUUUUUUUAAGGACUUUAGUGGAGAUGAGCUGUCACUCGCUAUUAAAAGUUCAAAGUCAAAUUUGCAGUCCACUUCUGGCAAGGAAGACAGAGCUGCGUGGAGCAAAGGUUUGGGAGCCAUCUGUCUUUGCCAGUCUGGACGGGCCUGCUGAUGGACAGCCCUCAGCCCAGCCACGGGAGCACAGCAGUAAAAGGACUUUGGAAAGUUUUGCCAACCUCGGGAAGCUGACUGAAUGCAUCGCCCCUGAAGCUGUGGUUUGGCUCAGGUAGCAGACAGCUCUCCUGAAUUCGGCUUCUGAGACACUUCCAUUGGAAGACCCGCUGUGGGGGCAAGCACUUGCCUUUUACCACUGUCCCCAUCGCUUGUUACUGCCUCUCCCUGAGCCUCUGUCUCCUGGCUGAGCCCUGAAGGUAUUAAUACUUAUGAAAACGGUUAGGGUCUGCUGACAAAUACUGGAACGAAGAGUAGACAUUGGAAAACAAAAUUCCUUCUUUCUAGCGUCUCUGCUUCGUAUCAGAUGUGCUCAGUCGUUCUUGGAAGUCUUGACCUCCUGCAUCGCCCAUCUGCACUGGGGAUCUUUAACCACAAGGCAGCUCAGGGCUUGCUGUAACCCAACGCUGCUGUCCCCGCCCUCCAAACCCUCGGAAAGGGCCUCUGCAAGCCACUGUCUGUCACAGCUCCUGUUGGGGGCCCCUCCUGCAUGGCUCCUUCUCUUCCCAGAUGCUGGUGACAGCUCCCUCUUCUUGUCCCCUCCAGGUGCAGGAGUGACAAGAGCUUCCCUCUGUCACUAGUUUCUGCUUCCCCACCUUUUGUUGCUUCCCCAACCCUGCUCAUGCCUGUGUGAAUAGUUCUUCUCUGACAUCCUCUUCAGUUAAACCUUUUUAUUGUUGUAUCUGAUCUCUAUUAGGACAGUGACCAUCCCAACCCCGCUGCCCCAGGGCCCUCAGGGUAAAAUCCAAACUUCUUAAUGCCCCGCCACCCUGGCCUCUCCUGCUAUUCUCCUCUGGUUCCCUAACUUCCAGUCUUCAAACUGUUUCCCAUUCGGGGCCCUUUGCAUCUGCUGUUCUCAGCCAGGAAUGUUCUUUCCCCGUAUGUUGGGCCAGCUGCCUUGUUCUCAUCAUUAUGGUGUUAGGUUGGAUGUCACCUCUUUAGAAAGUCCUUUCCAGGUCACUCUACGUAAGUAGCUCACCCGCCGCCCCCCCCCAGUUCUUUACCAUCUUAUUGCCCUAUUUACAUUUUUUAAAGCCCUUGUCACUUUUUAAAAUUAUA